rnacentral:rRNA from 1 species
GACGAACGCUGGCGGCGUGCCUAAUACAUGCAAGUCGAACGCACAGUUUAUACCGUAGCUUGCUACACCAUAGACUGUGAGUUGCGAACGGGUGAGUAACGCGUAGGUAACCUGCCUGGUAGCGGGGGAUAACUAUUGGAAACGAUAGCUAAUACCGCAUAAUAUUAAUUAUUGCAUGAUAAUUAAUUGAAAGGUGCAAUUGCACCACUACCAGAUGGACCUGCGUUGUAUUAGCUAGUAGGUGAGGUAACGGCUCACCUAGGCGACGAUACAUAGCCGACCUGAGAGGGUGAUCGGCUACACUGGGACUGAGACACGGCCCAGACUCCUACGGGAGGCAGCAGUAGGGAAUCUUCGGCAAUGGACGAAAGUCUGACCGAGCAACGCCGCGUGAGUGAAGAAGGGUGUCGGAUCGUAAAGCUCUGUUGUAAGAGAAGAACGGGUGUGAGAGUGGAAAGUUCACACUGUGACGGUAUCUUACCAGAAAGGGACGGCUAACUACGUG